CGGGGAGCCCUGCCCGGGGCUGGGGCUCCAGCGGUGCCCGGCCGGGCUGGCUCUGCAGGCUCAGGGCUUGCAAAGCAUUAACAGGAGGACGAAGUUCCUUCCUAGCACUAAAACUUCUGCUGCUGCCUUGUAAAAGGCACCUCCCGUACCUGGCUGACAGGUAAGAGGAGUAGGGGUGGUGAUGGCACAGCCCUGAGAGCCCCGAAACUGCUCACCCCUUCCCGGAGCGACACCGGUGUGACUUCAGGUUUCGGUUUAAAACAUUAAAAUAAAAGGAGAGAAUUUUCGCCCCAAGUAUAAGCAAGCCAGAAAGAAGCCAAAAGGCUGAAAAAUAAAAUGCUAUCGAAAUUAAAUAAGCCCGCUAGAGCGUGAGGUGGUGUGAUAAAAAAGGAGGGGAGGAAAAAAAAAAAAAAAAAGGAGAGAAAAUGGAACUAAAUUCCGAACCUACCUGCGAAGUCUUGUUUGUAGUUUUGGCCAGAAAUGGUGAGAAGAAAAAGCAUGAAGAAGCCGCGAAGUGGAGGAGAAAAGGUGAAGGGAGAUGCAGCUCCUGGAGAAAUUGUAAAAAAGCCUUGCAAAGAGUUGUCGGAAGGACCGUUAUUCCUGCUGGGCAGGAGCGAGAGGAGAGACCCUGAAACACACGCCACCUAUCUUUGUGGGGAGGGAUAAUUGAAGAGCACCAAACAUAGGGAUCAGGGGUGAGAUGGGCUCUUCCUGGCUCUGCUUUCCCUUGGAAGUAGCUGGAUGGGCAGAGAGACAACGCGGACGAGUAACGCGUGGGACUGAACUUCAGGGAGGUUACAAGUUUUUCACCUCUUUCAAGUAUUAAAAUUAAAAUAAAAUUACAUCUAGAAAAAAAAAAAAGGGGAAAGAAAAAAAAAAAAAAGGAGAAACCCAGACUCCACCUUUGCACUGAAGGGAUUGGUUAUGCAAAUAUGGAAGGGGUUUCCUGGCAAAUACAGCUUUCUACUGUAUGGUUAAUUAAAUCAUCACUCAAAAGCCUUCCAAUGUGACGCUUCUGUCGUAAUCCAAUCAGGUUACGUAGGUCCUAAACAAGAAAGAUAUUUUCCACAUCUGGAAGUCAGCAAUUUAGCAAGUACUGCACAUUAUUAACCAAUUCAGAGCCCACUUCCCAGGGGGAUUUUUUUUUCCUUUUUUUUUUUUUUUUCUUCUUCUUCUUCUUUUUUUUUUUCUUUUUCGGAGUUUAAGUGUUCUUAA